CUUCUUCUUAUGUAUGUUUCUUUUAUACACUCUCUCUCAAUUAUUGUUCCUUCUUUCAAAUCAAAACCCUAACGCCGAAUCGCCUCCUCAGGAUCUCAAUCAUCAAUCCUUUCAUCUGGUUAUCCUUCUUCUCUGCACCAUCUUAUCACAAACCCUAACCUCGAUCAAACUUUUUCAUGUAUUGGAGAAACACUAAUCAAACUAUUCAUCUUCACUCUGUUUAUACCUUAAUCCAAUGAUUUCUUCAAUCGGUAGCUUUGUUGGGGUCUCUAAGUGGCUGCUGUCAUAUCUCUUCGCCGACGUCCUCUGUUCAUAUAUCUCACCGUUUAAUCAGUUAGGGUUUGGUGGUGGAUCGAAUUUUUAAGUGAGUUAUGGUUUGGGGUCGGAUAUUGGUGACAACAAGGAAGGUAAGAAUUUGACAAGUAGAUCAUUAAUAGAUGAUGUGCUGAAGAAAGUUAGGACCUCGAAACCCUUAUAUAUAUAUAGACUAGAAGAUGUACCCAUGUUUCAGUUGCAAAUCCUAACGUAUUGGCUGUUAUUACUGCUGCUACAAAGGAGUCUCAGGUCUGAUCAUUCACUCUACAUUGCUUGGAGGCAAAAAAAAAAGGUAUGCUCAUCAAUUCAAAUCCAGUUAAUAAUGAGGUUUAAAUUUGCUAGCUGAGUAAUUAUAAGCUAAUAAGCAUAAACUUAAAAAGCUAAACCAAACACAAGUUAAGCUUAUUUUAUAUAAAAAAAAAACCCCUUAAAAAGCUAUAAGAUUUGUUAAAAAAGCUAGGCCAAACAUCCCCUAAACCCAGAAACCUUGAUUUAAAAAAAAAACAUUAGGGUUUAGGAAGUGUUUUGUUCAGUGAUAAAGUGAUUGAUUCAGCAAGCGAAGAGUUUAGUGGUUUGUAAAAAUGGAGAGAACUCCAGCAGCUUGUGCCAUGAAUUGGAGCAUUCAGCUAUGAAAAAGCCCUAUGCUCCAACAACUCUGGUGAAUUAGGAUUCUUUAAAUAUUCUUACGUUUUUUGAUGAUUUAUUGAUGAUGAUUAGCUACAUGACAGAGCGGAUUAGAGGAUGCCUAUUAUCUAUGUGAAGCUAUCACGUUACCAGCAAGGAAGGAACUUCAUUUCCCUGAUUUCUCUGUGCUAUGUCAGCAAGCUAAAAGGGUAUUCUUGUCUAUUCACAUGCAAUGUCUGGGUGGGUGUUUGUGAUAAUCACCUAUCAACGUAAUUCCACUGGCUUAGCUUUCUCUUUAGCUGGUAAACAAUCCGAAUGGAGAUAUAUCUCUUGCAAUCCCCCUAUCCUUGAUCUACACUUUUUCAAGGGAAAAAUAUCUACACUUUGACGAGUAAAGCAAGAAAGUGGGUAAUUCUUCAUCUGGUAGUUCAAGUAAAUGCAUGCGAAGAUGAAAAGAACAGUAAACAUAUUUGUUGUUAUUUGAUGAUCGAUUAUUGUAUGGAUUAGUAUUGUUUAAAUAUUCUUACGGUUUUUUUUUUUGUUUUUUUUUUUUGAUGAUUUAUUAAUGAUGAUUAGCUACAUGACAGAGCGAAAUAGAGGAUGCCUAUUAGCUAUGUGAAGCUAUCACGUUACCAAACCAACAUCAACUUAUGACAAAACAUUUUUUUUAUUUUUUUUUAUUUUCUACUAAUUUGAUAAUUGAUGGUUUGCAGGUGGGGAAGAAGAACAAGUGUAGUUUUCGGCUGGUUACAGUUGAGGAUGGACUUUACUCACUCGAAUACAAUCCAUCAAUGUCUACGCUUCAAGCGUUCUCUAUUUGCGUAGCGGUUGUAAGUAGCCAUAAGUUGACUCACAUCUUUCAAGUCAAUUAUGUUCGAGAGUCGAAAGAACUGUGUCUAAAAACAUACGAUCACCAACGAGUGAUAAGAAUGUUAAAAUUCGCGAGGAGUUUGUUUCGAAACCACCAGCAUCACCUGUUGGUAGGGUAUAAAUUUAGAUGUUAUAUUAGUUUAGAUGCCAUUUAUAUUUUUGAGAUGGCAAUGGAUUCAAAACAAUCACUAUGCGGUUAGGAGUGGAUGUGAUUGUUUUUAGCCGUACAUAUUGGAACAGGUAAUGUUUAAUGUUGUUUGAUUCUUUAUUUGAGUUCUUGCAAUUGAGUCAAUUGAUGAUCUUGCCCUUAGUGUUGUUUUAUAUUACCGUUAUGUGGAUAAGCAACCCAAAGUGUUGGCUGUAUCAACAAUGGAUACUCAUUCAUUAUCAUAUUAAUUUCACUGGACUAAAUGAUUGAAAGAUUAUGACUUUAGAAGAAAAACGUGUAGGUCUGAGUGAAUAUUGAACUGUGAUUGAUUGAGGGUGUAUGUGUUUUUUAUAGGUGGUCUGAUCAUUGGCCGAUAACGCCCGUUAAGGGCUGCUUGACUCUGUUUCAGACUGUAUGUAGCUUCCCACCUGGUUACCACAUGUUAAGUUUUACCUUAACAUGUUUUUGUUAAUCUGAUAAGGGAUAUUUAAGUCUUGAUGAAUUGUUCCAGGUCUUUCUUUGGAGGUUCUUUUAUGCAUCUUUGGCAGUCUUUGACUUAUGAUAUUCGACUAUUGCAGGGCAAUUGGUCACCAAAAGUAUAAGAUGAUGGCCAGGUCACUAGCGAUAUUUCUAUACGCCUUGCAGAAACUGUUGAAGGUAAGAUUCUUAUUCAAUCACGGAUGAACGUGUGUUUGUAAGAACCUUUAUAUCAUGGCGCUUUGUGUGUUUGUAAGAUAAACCACCCUUUUCGUUAAUUUGGAUGGUAGACGACGAAGAAUACCGCUCCCGUAGGCCAAAUCAUGCAAUAAGGAAAAAGACUAAUCUCCUGGUAAUCAAUUAUUCAGUCACUUAAUUUAGUUUAAAUCGGAGUAGUUAGAAUUUGUUCAGAGAUUGAACUUACAUCUGGUAUAAUUUGGAAUUUAGUGUUGAGAGGGUAUAGUUUUGUCGUCAUAUUAAAUAUAGUACACCGGAUCUAAUGUCCAUGAAAGUAUGAGCACUUUUCUUCGGAGUGAUGUUAUCUAUUUGGAUUCAGAUUUCAAAUGUGUGAAUUUGCUUUUUAUUUGAGUUAAAAAGGAAAGCAGAGAAAACUUCCCCACGCCGUGCCAUUAGUUUGAUUUGGUUGAUUUGGUGAAACUGAUUGUGAGCAGCAGUCGGUUAGGGUUGAAGGGGGUGUUGAUGGUCGAUUAUGGGUACAAGGAGGAGUGGUUCAACGCUGCUGGUUGUGGUGGUUUCGCAGCGGUGAAGAUGAGUGGAGGCGGUGGUUGGCUGCACGGAUCUGGUAGUAGAUGGGUUAUAGGUGGGUGUGGUAUUCGUGCCAUUAGUAGAAGAGAUUUAAAAACAAAACUGAUGAUGCAACAAUAUCUUUACGAGAUUUGAUUAAAAUGUGAUUUACCAAGUGGAAUUCCCAUGUCGAAGGUAACAAGUCUUGCUUAAAACUUUUAAUUUUCUUAGUUUUUUGUUAAGGGCAUUUGUAUAAUUGUAUCUAGAUAUUGUAUUUUUUAGUUUUGAUCGGUCGAUUUCAAUAUUUGUCAUGUAAAUAUUUUUCACCUGGCAUCUAUAGUUAAUUCCCUAUGCUAUUUGUCACACUUUUCCUUAUUAAUGUUUAUUUCUCUCGCAACCAAUAUGUACAGUUAAUAGCGUAAUCAUUUUAUGUUGUAAAUUUUAAUUGGCCACUAAAAGUUCAAUACACAAGUUCAGAGUUAUAGUUAUUUUAAAUUUUGCAUCGUUAUUAUCUCAUGUUGUCUUCCCUUUUAAAUUUGGACCAAUAAAUUGUUCGUGACUUUUGACUUUUUUAACAUUGGCUUGCAGAUCAUCUUCUUUAAGAUUUGACAUACCAAUGGCUUUAUCAACAAAAAAAUUAUUGUUCUUCUAGGUUGUAUUAAGUACAAAAUGCACAAGGAAUAUCCCCAAAAAAGCUUCAAAAAAAAUAAUCUUCAAAGCAAUAAAUAAUAGUUCAUCGCCGUUCAGAACUGAGAAAGUUAUUGAUUAUGUGGGAUUUGUUUUAAAGUCGCCAGAUGGAGGACCACCUAUUCUUCCUGAAUUCAUCGAUGCGGUAACACUCAUGCUCUGUUUUUCUUAUAGCGUCUUGUGUUUUUUAAUUUAGGUUUUUUCUGGGGUCCUAUAUGAUAACCGGGAUACUUUGUAUGGGUAUUUUUAAAUUUUGAUGGAAAUACUUGAUACAUGAAUGGUGGUGAUAUGGGGAUCUAGAUCUGCAUGAACAUUAGUUGAUUCCCUUAGAAACAAAAUGGACCAAUACAAUUAACAUUCUGAUGGUUUUUAUCUCUAACAUAACAUUAUGGGUCAAAUUGGGUAGUAUGUAGUUUUAUUAACGGGGCAUACUUGGUUGACAAAAAUAGUAAAGUAAAUCUUAGGAUGGGCGAAAGUGAACACUUCUUUUACCACCACCAUCCACCUCUACCUUUACCUAGCUACCAAAACAACAACUAUAGUGGUUGACCUGUUGUGACCCAACCCAGGGCCUGUAUUAAAUUCUAAUUUAAUUUUUAUUUUUUGUGUUUUUUAAAUAACAUGGGCAUGGAGUUGGAUUUGGCUUACGGGUUAACGUCUAGGCCAUGACACGACCCAACACAUCCCUCUAUAUUAUUUUGGGCUUGGACUGGAUUCAAGAUAAUGCAGCAGGAUUAAAUUGUGAAUUGUGCUUGAAGGUUAAAAGUUGAAGGCCCGAAGGGUUGUUGAUAAAGUCUUGAAGGCCUGUAUUUGUCCGUGGUCAACCAUAUGUCUAAAAGACAACCAAUGUGGUCUACAAGGAAUUUUUUACUGAAAUUUUAGUGAUUUGUUAUUUCUUUCUUCCGGCAUUUGAAUAGUUUUCUGUUUUUUUCUUCCAAUGUAUGUAUUUGUACACAACAUUUCAUUUCAAAGUAAAAAAUAUGGUUUUGGUUGAAGCCCGCGUAUUACGCGGGCAUUAACCUAGUUUAAUAUAUACAUAUCUUUUCUAA